UUUUGGACAAUGGGGGCGACCCUGAUCCAGCAAUGCCGCGUGAGUGAAGAAGGCCUUCGGGUUGUAAAGCUCUUUUGUCAGGGAAGAAACAGCAGCUCUAACACAGUUGUGAAUGACGGUACCUGAAGAAUAGGCACCGGCUAACUACGUGCCAGCAGCCGCGGUAAUACGUAGGGUGCAAGCGUUCAUCGGAAUUACUGGGCGUAAAGCGUGCGCAGGCGGUUAUACAAGACAGGCGUGAAAUCCCCGGGCUCAACCUGGGAAUUGCGUCUGUGACUGUAUAGCUAGAGUGUGUCAGAGGGGGGUAGAAUUCCACGUGUAGCAGUGAAAUGCGUAGAUAUGUGGAGGAAUACCAAUGGCGAAGGCAGCCCCCUGGGAUAACACUGACGCUCAUGCACGAA
rnacentral:rRNA from 1 species